ensembl:lncRNA
AUGUUAGGCAAUACUGACUGUAUUUCACAAUUCAGCAUUAUUUUCCGUGGUUUGGGAGAAAAGUCGAAUAAACGUGACAAAUAACAGUUUAUCAGAGAAGCAUUUCUCCAAAUAUAGGGACGAACAGAGGACAGCACGUUUCCUCACCCAUUCUGUCUCUAGCUUGCAUCUGCAGGUUUUUCUGUUUAACUUCAACUUAUGCAGACACAUUGAAAAUGUGUAUUGACAUGUUAAAGUUAUUGUUGACCUUACGCUUAAUUCUGUUCAAUGAGCAAGGCUGCUCUUUCAGCUACUCUACAAAAUGAUACCAAUUAUUUAACAUUUUUAUUUACUGUACAUGUGUUUGCACUGUGUCAUUCCUCUGUGCUUUUACGGAAGUUCGGUUACAACACUACAUUUGAAGUCUUCCUAUUAAGCAUUUAUAAGCAGUGCAUAAAAAUUAAUACAUGGUUUGUAACACACUAAUGUAGAUCUAAGCAAAUAGGCAUUUUUUUCAUUUGUCAACUACAAUUCCUUUUGUGGAUACCAAUAAGUGGAGGCUGCAGUAUAAACAGAUAAAGAAUGAUGAUAGAAUAAAACACAGCUUUAAUAAUAAACUUAUGUUUAUAGGUGAAGUUGUCAUUGCUGAUGUACUGUACAACAAUAAGCACUUCAAAUGUCCUUAUAGCUGCCGACAACUGCAUUAUAGUGUGUUACAAAUGUUCCUAACUAACUCAUUUGUUCUGCUGGUAAUUCGUGUUAUUAUUAGUAAGGAAAAUGACUCAUGUUAUGAAAAUAAGACCCAAGUGUGAAAAAAAUAUCCUUAAUAAUGAUGGAGAAAUGUUUUAUGUUGUCCAUCUCCUUGUUAAUGCUGCAUUAUCUUAAUGUAAUUAAAUGAAAGCAGGGAUGCCUCCUCCUGCCGGUCUCCUGUUGAUUUGUCCCCUUUCAGAAUGCAGCCAGUAUUUAUGAGGAGGAUCACCCUGCCCAAAUGUAUCCUGCACUCUCGCUACCCAUCCUUUGAUCAGCCGUCAGACUGGAUUGUGCUGAUGAGGCAACCCUGCAGCUCCACUUAGAUUUAGAGAGGUGAACAGUAUUACUGCUUACCGCUUGGUGUGUGUCAUAGAAGAAUAUGAAUCACAAUUUCAUGGGCCCCCUGCUCCUUGCCUUGCUUUACACCAUGUGAAGAAGUGCAGAGGUGACUACCCCUUGGUCCAUGUUUAAAUCAACACUUUUACUCUGGUUUUCUUUCUGUCUGUGCUUCCUGUUCUGUAUGCAAUGUGUGGCAUUUUGUGUUCUAAAUGUAUACUAAGCAAUAUGAGCAGUCUGACAGAACAGUCAGUGGCUGUGUUUUGCACUGUGUCGGCCACUAAAUUAAAC